GGGGAAUAUUGCACAAUGGGCGCAAGCCUGAUGCAGCGACGCCGCGUGAGGGAUGGAGGCCUUCGGGUUGUAAACCUCUUUCGCCAGUGAAGCAGGCCUGCUCCUUGUGGGUGGGUUGACGGUAGCUGGAUAAGAAGCGCCGGCUAACUACGUGCCAGCAGCCGCGGUAAUACGUAGGGCGCGAGCGUUGUCCGGAAUUAUUGGGCGUAAAGAGCUCGUAGGCGGCUGGUCGCGUCUGUCGUGAAAUCCUCUGGCUUAACUGGGGGCUUGCGGUGGGUACGGGCCGGCUUGAGUGCGGUAGGGGAGACUGGAACUCCUGGUGUAGCGGUGGAAUGCGCAGAUAUCAGGAAGAACACCGGUGGCGAAGGCGGGUCUCUGGGCCGUUACUGACGCUGAGGAGCGAAAGCGUGGGGAGCGAACAGGAUUAGAUACCCUGGUAGUCCACGCCGUAAACGUUGGGCACUAGGUGUGGGGGGCCUUUUCCGGGUUUUCCGCGCCGUAGCUAACGCAUUAAGUGCCCCGCCUGGGGAGUACGGCCGCAAGGCUAAAACUCAAAGGAAUUGACGGGGGCCCGCACAAGCGGCGGAGCAUGCGGAUUAAUUCGAUGCAACGCGAAGAACCUUACCAAGGCUUGACAUAUACUGGACUGCGUCAGAGAUGGCGUUUCCCUUCGGGGCUGGUAUACAGGUGGUGCAUGGUUGUCGUCAGCUCGUGUCGUGAGAUGUUGGGUUAAGUCCCGCAACGAGCGCAACCCUUGUCCCGUGUUGCCAGCACGUUGUGGUGGGGACUCGCGGGAGACUGCCGGGGUCAACUCGGAGGAAGGUGGGGAUGACGUCAAAUCAUCAUGCCCCUUAUGUCUUGGGCUUCACGCAUGCUACAAUGGCCGGUACAGAGGGCUGCGAUACCGUGAGGUGGAGCGAAUCCCUUAAAGCCGGUCUCAGUUCGGAUCGGUGUCUGCAACUCGACACCGUGAAGUUGGAGUCGCUAGUAAUCGCAGAUCAGCAACGCUGCGGUGAAUACGUUCUCGGGCCUUGUACACACCGCCCGUCACGUCAUGAAAGUCGGCAACACCCGAAGCCCGUGGCCCUACGGGGAGCGGUCGAAGGUGGGGCUGGUGAUUGGGACGAAGUCGUAACAAGGUAGCCGUACCGGAAGGUGCGGCUG
rnacentral:rRNA from 1 species